AAUGAACGUUGGCGGCGUGGAUUAGGCAUGCAAGUCGUGCGGAAAGGCUCCUUCGGGAGUACUCGAGCGGCGAAAGGGAGAGUAACGCGUGGAUAUCUACCCCCUGGCCUGGGAUAGCGGCGGGAAACUGCCGGUAAUACCAGAUAAUAUCUGCGGAUCAAAGGUGUGAUUCCGCCGGGGGAUGAGUCCGCGUCCUAUUAGCUAGUUGGUGAGGUAACGGCCCACCAAGGCUGAGAUGGGUACCGGGUGUGAGAGCAUGGCCCGGCUCACUGGGACUGAGACACUGCCCAGACACCUACGGGUGGCUGCAGUCGAGAAUCUUCGGCAAUGGGCGCAAGCCUGACCGAGCGACGCCGCGUGCGGGAUGAAGGCCUUCGGGUUGUAAACCGCUGUCAGAGGGGAGGAAAUGCAUGGGGGUUCUCCCUCAUGUUUGACCUAUCCUCAGAGGAAGUACGGGCUAAGUUCGUGCCAGCCGCCGCCGUAA
rnacentral:rRNA from 1 species